rnacentral:lncRNA from 1 species
CUCAAUCUAAGUCCCCACAAACCAUUUCACGAAAUCAAUUAACAAAUCAAUUUUCUCUCAAUCUUCUUCACGAUUUUUUUUAAUCAACUCUCUAAACCAACUGAACAUAAAAUCAAAAUCCCACAAUUGCCAUCAAUUCUCCACAAACCAAAAAUUGGGGAUCGACUCUUUGUUGACCUUAACUUCAACCGCCAUCGCCGCAAACCAUUCAGUUCAGCCGCAACAAACCAGUCCUUCAUGGGCAGCAGCUCGAUUUCUCAUUUCUGAUCGUCGAAUUCUGGAUCUCGAUUUUUGGUUGUUAACGGAGACUCUCAAUUUCUUCGUGGGCUGCAUCGUUUUCUGUUCAGGGAUGGAGGUUUAUGACGGCUGUAGCUGGAUCGUCAAUACCACAAUUACAUUCAACAGACUAAAAAUUCAAAAUAUAGAUUGGAGCUUCUUACCGAACCAUCUAAAACAAAAAUCAUAACCGAAUUCCUCAGAGCAUUUUCAAGCGUAAAUUUUGCUAAAGCGCUUGAAAAACCUAAUGAGAUAAUAAAUCCUUUCAAUUGAAUUGCGGGGCAAUUUUGCGAGAAAAAAAAAAAAGUUAUUCCAGAAACACUGUAGCAGCCUAGCAUCGUUAAUCAGGGGAACCCUCGUGCGUGGAUCCCAGGCGGAACAGUGAUUUAUACUCGGGCCAUAUGCUAAUAUCGAGCUUCUCAAAUUGGGUAACUUGACUACCAACGAGAAUAGUGUAACACCCCGCAUUUUCC